rnacentral:rRNA from 1 species
AUACGUAGGUGGCAAGCGUUGUCCGGAAUUAUUGGGCGUAAAGCGCGCGCAGGUGGUUCCUUAAGUCUGAUGUGAAAGCCCCCGGCUCAACCGGGGAGGGUCAUUGGAAACUGGGGAACUUGAGUGCAGAAGAGGAUAGUGGAAUUCCAAGUGUAGCGGUGAAAUGCGUAGAGAUUUGGAGGAACACCAGUGGCGAAGGCGACUGUCUGGUCUGUAACUGACACUGAGGCGCGAAAGCGUGGGGAGCAAACAGGAUUAGAUACCCUGGUAGUCCACGCCGUAAACGAUGAGUGCUAAGUGUUGGGGGGCUUCCGCCCCUCAGUGCUGCAGCUAACGCAUUAAGCACUCCGCCUGGGGAGUACGGUCGCAAGACUGAAACUCAAAUGAAUUGACGGGG